rnacentral:SRP_RNA from 14 species
AGGAGUUGGAGAAGGUGCCGUGGGCGAGGGUGUGGGCCCCCCUUCAUUGGCAAGGCAGAUGCGUGAAGCUGGCUUGCCACCUGAGCACAGACCAGAGCAGCAGUCAACAUUUUCUCUG